AGAGGAGCCAAGCGUUGUCCGGAUUGACUGGGCGUAAAGCGCACGCAGGCGGACGCGCGCGUGGGGUGUGAAAUCUGGCCGCUUAACGGCCAGGCGCCAUCCCAUACGGCGGGUCUGGAGCCUUGCAGAGGUCGGUGGAAUUGCCGGUGUAGUGGUGAAAUGCGUAGAGAUCGGCAGGAACACCCAGGGGGAAACCAGCCGACUGGGCAAGUGCUGACGCUGAGGUGCGAGAGCGUGGGGAGCGAACCGGAUUAGAUACCCGGGUAGUCCACGCCGUAAACGAUGGCCGCUCGGCCUUUGGGGGCGGAAUCUCCGUCCGUGGGGGCCUUAGCAAACGCGGGAAGUGGCCCGCCUGGGAACUACGAGCGCAAGCUUA
rnacentral:rRNA from 1 species